rnacentral:misc_RNA from 1 species
GAUGAAGAACGCAGUGAAAUGCGAUAAGUAAUGUGAAUUGCAGAAUUCAGUGAAUCAUCGAAUCUUUGAACGCACAUUGCGCCCGCCAGUAUUCUGGCGGGCAUGCCUGUCCGAGCGUCAUUUCAACCCUCGAACCCCUCCGGGGGGUCGGCGUUGGGGAUCGGCCCUGCCUCUUGGCGGUGGCCGUCUCCGAAAUACAGUGGCGGUCUCGCCGCAGCCUCUCCUGCGCAGUAGUUUGCACACUCGCAUCGGGAGCGCGGCGCGUCCACAGCCGUUAAACACCCAACUUCUGAAAUGUUGACCUCGGAUCAGGUAGGAAUACCCGCUGAACUUAAGCAUAUCAUAAGCGGAGGA